UAAAGGGUGUAACACUUGACGAUUGAAAAAGUAAAAAGUCUCAGAGAAAAUAUUGGAACACAAAAUUAUCCAUUGAAAAAUUUUUGAUUAAAUAAUCUUGAAGAUACCGGAUAGCUCAAUUAACUGAACUUAUUUAGAUUAGUCAAUCCUAAUAGGGAAAGAUGAUCAUGAAUAUCUCCAUGUAAUUUUGCAUAAACAAGUUCCAAUCCUUGAUUUACCAAAUGUAGAAAAACUUUCUGUUCCAGUUCUGUCUUGCACCAAACCAGAUGAUGAGCUAUUGUAAACAAAUUCAAUAUAAAGUUUUACAGGUCAAUUUGAAAUUGAAAUGUAACUUCAAGUUAUCAUAAAAGAUUAUGUAAUAAUAUUCACAGAGAACCCAUGAAAGUUGAUUUGAUUGUUGUCAAUUGAAAGACGUUUUGCAGCAGAUUAAAUUGAUUUGGACGAUGAAAGUAACCAAAAUUAUCUGAUCACGACAGAAAUCACGACUUAAUUCCAUUGUUGAUAACGACUUGUGGUCAUAAUCAUGAUUAACAGACACAAAUGGAAAGUAAAUUGACUGAAGAAAGUUAAACAUUGGGCAAAAAAAUCACUAGAUUAAAAUUGAACUCAAACAUCAUUAAAACGGCCUUUUACCAAGUCAAAUUUCAUUGGUUAACUAGAUCUGGUAAAAAAGAUUGACUGUCAAGGCCAGGAUAAAAUAAAGACGCUAAGAUAAUAUUGAAAAUAAAUCAAUUAUUGUGAAAUGAAAUGUAAAACUGGUGACCUUUUUGGUCACUGUUUACAGUUAAUGUGUCAUUGUUCACUUUUAAUCUGUAAUCUUAUCUUUUUGUCUGCCAGUCUGCCUUUGUCAUCUUGUCUUCUUAGCGUCUUUGACACAAGAAGAUUCAAUUUUGUCUUUUUCUUCUGUGAUUGUCAGUUAUCAAGCAAACAUCAUCUUUAUUAAUCAAUCAACAUUAACCUGAAUUGUGAUUAUCUUUGGCUACCAUUUGUACCUUUAUUUAGCCAUUCACCAAUUAAUUAUCAACUUCUAUUGUGGUUAUAUGAGUGUUUUCAAAUAUUGAAUUAAUAACCAAAAUGGUUUCACCUUUUCAAAGGAAUGAAAAAUAGGAAUCUUACAUCAGAUUGAGAAACAUGUGCGUUAAUGGAUACUUCAUUGACUUGAUAUAAAUAACAUUUGCAGCUCAUUUACAAUCAUCACAUCAUCUGUUUGAUUAAUCAACUUUUCAUCUUUUAUGCAUGAAUUUAAUUUCAGUUUCAAUUGGAUUCCAACCUUUUUAAUUCCUGGCUGCUUUUCAUUUAUUUUCAACCUCUAUCCUCAUAUUGCAGCUUUCAAUGAAGGUAUCUCUCAGCAUUGGGAAAUUGCAUAUUUAUCAUUUGCCGAUGUCUGGAAAUGGGUAUUUUUUGGCCUCAUGAUAAACUCUUGGAUAAAUCUCAAUUUAUUUCUGAACCUUUAGCUCUUAAACUGGACCAGCAAGUUAACAAAAUCAUCUUUAACCUCCUGGGAUGUUAACGAUAUUUUGUAUCUUACAAAAUAGUAGAGAAUUGGAAAUAAUAAAUUGAUCAAGAAUCAGUUUAUUUUUUAUAAAUUAACCUGAUUUUAAGCCCUUGGGCCAAUAUUGUCAGAUAUUUUUUUACAGUUCAGAAACAAAUAACGAAAAAUGGAUUCUCAUUUUGCUAACACUUAUUCAGAAGCUUUUUAUUAUCAUUUUCAGCUGAAAACAACUUAAAUCUAGUCUUAGUGCGAUUUAC